GCGGAAGUAGUUCAGUGGUAGAACACCAGCUUCCCAAGCUGGACGUCGCGGGUUCGAGUCCCGUUUUCCGCUCCA
rnacentral:tRNA from 3 species